GAUGAACUAAGGCGGCCAAGUUGACACGAGCAAUUCUACCGAAGCAAGUUGGUGCGAUCCCUUGGGGGAGUCGUUUUAUUCACUGAGUGGCGGACGGGUGAGUAACGCGUGGGUAACCUACCUUGUACAGGGGGACAGCAGUUGGAAACGACUGAUAAUACCGCAUAAGCGCACAGGAUCGCAUGAUACAGUGUGAAAAGUUUUUUCGGUACAAGAUGGUCCCGCGUCUGAUUAGCUAGUUGGUGAGGUAACGGCCCACCAAGGCGACGAUCAGUAGCCGGCCUGAGAGGGUGUACGGCCACAUUGGGACUGAGACACGGCCCAAACUCCUACGGGAGGCAGCAGUGGGGAAUAUUGGACAAUGGGGGAAACCCUGAUGCAGCGACGCCGCGUGAGACGAAUGAAGUAUUUCGGUAUGUAAAGCUCUAUCAGCAGGGAAGAUAAUGACGUAC
rnacentral:rRNA from 1 species